GAUGAACGCUGGCGGCGUGCCUAAUACAUGCAAGUCGAGCGAACGGACGAGAAGCUUGCUUCUCUGAUGUUAGCGGCGGACGGGUGAGUAACACGUGGAUAACCUACCUAUAAGACUGGGAUAACUUCGGGAAACCGGAGCUAAUACCGGAUAAUAUUUUGAACCGCAUGGUUCAAAAGUGAAAGACGGUCUUGCUGUCACUUAUAGAUGGAUCCGCGCUGCAUUAGCUAGUUGGUAAGGUAACGGCUUACCAAGGCAACGAUGCAUAGCCGACCUGAGAGGGUGAUCGGCCACACUGGAACUGAGACACGGUCCAGACUCCUACGGGAGGCAGCAGUAGGGAAUCUUCCGCAAUGGGCGAAAGCCUGACGGAGCAACGCCGCGUGAGUGAUGAAGGUCUUCGGAUCGUAAAACUCUGUUAUUAGGGAAGAACAUAUGUGUAAGUAACUGUGCACAUCUUGACGGUACCUAAUCAGAAAGCCACGGCUAACUACGUGCCAGCAGCCGCGGUAAUACGUAGGUGGCAAGCGUUAUCCGGAAUUAUUGGGCGUAAAGCGCGCGUAGGCGGUUUUUUAAGUCUGAUGUGAAAGCCCACGGCUCAACCGUGGAGGGUCAUUGGAAACUGGAAAACUUGAGUGCAGAAGAGGAAAGUGGAAUUCCAUGUGUAGCGGUGAAAUGCGCAGAGAUAUGGAGGAACACCAGUGGCGAAGGCGACUUUCUGGUCUGUAACUGACGCUGAUGUGCGAAAGCGUGGGGAUCAAACAGGAUUAGAUACCCCGGUAGUCCACGCCGUAAACGAUGAGUGCUAAGUGUUAGGGGGUUUCCGCCCCUUAGUGCUGCAGCUAACGCAUUAAGCACUCCGCCUGGGGAGUACGACCGCAAGGUUGAAACUCAAAGGAAUUGACGGGGACCCGCACAAGCGGUGGAGCAUGUGGUUUAAUUCGAAGCAACGCGAAGAACCUUACCAAAUCUUGACAUCCUUUGACAACUCUAGAGAUAGAGCCUUCCCCUUCGGGGGACAAAGUGACAGGUGGUGCAUGGUUGUCGUCAGCUCGUGUCGUGAGAUGUUGGGUUAAGUCCCGCAACGAGCGCAACCCUUAAGCUUAGUUGCCAUCAUUAAGUUGGGCACUCUAAGUUGACUGCCGGUGACAAACCGGAGGAAGGUGGGGAUGACGUCAAAUCAUCAUGCCCCUUAUGAUUUGGGCUACACACGUGCUACAAUGGACAAUANCAAGGGCAGCGAAACCGCGAGGUCAAGCAAAUCCCAUAAAGUUGUUCUCAGUUCGGAUUGUAGUCUGCAACUCGACUACAUGAAGCUGGAAUCGCUAGNUAUCGUAGAUCAGCAUGCUACGGUGGAUACGUUCCCGGGUCC
rnacentral:rRNA from 1 species